UUUGAAAGCAGCCCCUGGAGGCGGUCAUCUUCGUGCUCCAGGUGUGUCUCAGUCCCGCGAUAGUUCGCCACAGUAUCGUUUAGUCUCGUCUGGUCUUCUGCCGGUCGUAGUCAGCAGUCCGCGUCGGGGCUGCCGAGUUAAGAUGGAAGAAAGUCGUGACGCGGGUCGUGGACGCUGCAAAUCACGUGCGUGAGGACGAUUUCCAGAGCGGCCCAAGCGGCGUCCGUGAUCAUAGAGCAGGUCGGGAGGUUCAGCAGUGAAGCUCCGCCCGUGAAGCCCCUAACGAGCAGAGCUGCUGUUAGAGAUUCUGCUGUCAGGUCUGUCUGUGUCUGAGCUCCAUCAUAAACAAGCUGCUGUGUAAGGUGAACAGAGAAAGAGCUGAUUUACACUUUACAGUGUAAGAUACCUGUGGAGAGGUGAUGUGAUCUGACAGUCAGUUUGAUAAACACUGAUUAGUUGAUGUUUUAUUGUGUAUUUCAUGUUUGUGUAACAUGUUAUUUGUUCACUUGUUAUUUACUUCUUUCUUAAUAAAGUUUAAUGUGAAA